rnacentral:lncRNA from 1 species
CAGUCUUGGUUGCUUUGACAAUCUCUUCGUUCUAGGAACAACAAUUCCAACUAGUAUAGCAAAAUUAUCAAAGCCCAGAGCUACACUUUACUUUUGCUAUAGUGUCUCUACCAGGGGUGCCUGUUUAAAACACCAAGGAAACUGCUUUUCUGAAAGAAUG